AGCAGUAGCCACGGUAAUACGUAGGGUGCAAGCGUUAAUCGGAAUUACUGGGCGUAAAGCGUGCGCAGGCGGUUAUAUAAGACAGAUGUGAAAUCCCCGGGCUCAACCUGGGAACUGCAUUUGUGACUGUAUAGCUAGAGUACGGCAGAGGGGGAUGGAAUUCCGCGUGUAGCAGUGAAAUGCGUAGAUAUGCGGAGGAACACCGAUGGCGAAGGCAAUCCCCUGGGCCUGUACUGACGCUCAUGCACGAAAGCGUGGGGAGCAAACAGGAUUAGAUACCCGAGUAGUCCCUGUCUCUUAUAC
rnacentral:rRNA from 1 species